rnacentral:lncRNA from 1 species
CAGAGUGCUUCAGCAUUUUCCUGUCUGAAUCUUGAUAACAUUUUAUACCUUGGUGUGAAAGAUUGCUUUAGCUGAGAGAAAAAGGCUUUUGAUGUCAUAUUCCCCUGACACCUGCUGGUCUUAAGUGUUUCAGCAAAUAAUUCAGCAUGCUGGGAAUUUUUGAAUUAUAAUUUUUAUAUUCAUACCUUCUCAAAACUUUUUAGAGGUUUUCAGCAGCAGAGGAAAAGCAAGUGAUGCCAAGUGAAAUGAUCUCUGAGAGGAGCAAAUAUUAUUCACUGCCUAAAUGUGCAACCCACUACCUACUGGAUUCUACUGUUUCACAGGCAGUGUUUUACUGGAAGAGAGCAGCCUCUCUCAACCAUGGGGAGAUUAGACAUAAGCAACUGGAAGUGAAUAUCCUUAUCUGCCAUGACAGUACUUGACAUGUAGGAGAUCCUGGAGUUCCCAUAGCCCAGAUGGGUUCCCUGGAAGCUGUGGUGUUGAGAAAUCUGAAGGAUCCAGUACUAGGAGAGAUGAACCACAGAACCCAGAAAAACACACACAAGUGGAAGGGACUACAGAUGUCAAGAGGAGAGCUAAGCAGGAAACCCAAGUAGACUAGGUGAAAUCUACCCACACCCUUGUGGAUACCAGCUAAUGAAAAAGGCAUUGAUAAAGCUAAUCCCGAAAGGACACCGAGAAUAGAGAUGGUAGCCCAACACCACAAGUCUACCUCCACAAUGCAUGAAACAAUUCAAUAUUCUCUCAGAAGAAAUAUGCCAUUUGGAGAAAAAAGAAAGAGUCCUAACAAGGAGAUUAUGCUUUGAA